rnacentral:tRNA from 1 species
ACCCAGAGGGUAAUGAACCAACGCACUAGUCCCAAGAAAAACGUUCAAAUCACCGCCGUUAGCCCUACACUGGAGUGUUUUCAGGGAAAGACUAAAAGAGAAAGAAGGAACUCGGCAAAAUUCUCUAGCCUCGCCUGUUUACCAAAAACAUCGCCUCUUGAAAUUCCAAAGAUAAGAGGUCCAGCCUGCCCGGUGACUAUAUGUUUAACGGCCGCGGUAUCUUGACCGUGCAAAGGUAGCGCAAUCACUUGCCCUUUAAAUGGGGGCCCGUAUGAAUGGCAUCACGAGGGCUAAUCUGUCUCCUUUCUCCAGUCAAUGAAAUUGAUCUCCCCGUGCAGAAGCGGGGAUAACCCCAUAAGACGAGAAGACCCUGUGGAGCUUUAGAUACUAGGACUGCCUCUCCUUUAAUAUAGUUAACACAAAGACAUCCAAAUAAGAGACACAGUCUGACUAUCUUUGGUUGGGGCGACCGCGGGGAUUAAAAAAACCCCCAUGUGGAGCAGGAAUAUAAUAUUCCCAAAACCAAGAGUUACCACUCUAACUAACAGAAAUUCUGACCUAAAAAUGAUCCGACAAAGUCGAUCAACGGACCGAGUUACCCCAGGGAUAACAGCGCAAUCCCCUUUAAGAGUUCUUAUCGACAAGGGGGUUUACGACCUCGAUGUUGGAUCAGGACACCCCAAUGGCGCAGCAACUAUUAAAGGUUCGUUUGUUCAACGAUUAAAGUCCUACGUGAUCUGAGUUCAGACCGGAGUAAUCCAGGUCAGUUUCUAUCUAUGAAAUGUUUGCUUCUAGUACGAAAGGACCGAAGUAAAGGGGCCUAUACCCAAAGCACGCCUCCCCCUGAACUAAUGAAACCAACUAAAAUAAACAACAGGACAUAACCCCGCCCGCUACAGAAAAUAGCCUUCGCUGGAAUGGCAGAGCCCGGCCAUUGCAAAAGGUCUAAGCCCUUUACACAGAGGUUCAAGUCCUCUUUCCAGUUAUGAUUUCUUUAAUUAUUACGCACAUUAUUAACCCCUUAGCCUACAUCGUCCCUGUUCUUCUCGCAGUAGCUUUCCUCACCCUAAUUGAACGAAAAGUGCUAGGCUAUAUGCAACUCCGAAAAGGCCCUAACGUGGUAGGCCCGUACGGCCUUCUUCAACCCAUUGCAGACGGCGUCAAACUCUUCAUUAAGGAACCAGUACGCCCAUCCACUUCAUCACCAUUCCUUUUCCUUUUUAUACCUAUACUAGCCCUCACACUAGCUCUUACACUCUGAGCCCCCAUGCCAAUACCUUACCCAGUCAUUGACCUCAACCUUGGCAUUCUAUUUGUCCUAGCCCUUUCAAGCCUUGCAGUGUAUUCAAUCCUAGGCUCAGGCUGAGCAUCAAACUCCAAAUACGCCCUAAUCGGGGCCCUCCGGGCCGUUGCCCAAACAAUUUCAUAUGAAGUUAGCCUAGGCCUAAUCCUUUUAUGCGUAAUUAUUUUCUCGGGAAGCUUCACACUUCAAAUGUUUAAUACAGCCCAAGAAAGCAUUUGACUUAUUAUUCCAGCGUGACCCUUAGCUGCCAUAUGAUAUAUUUCUACCCUGGCAGAGACCAACCGAGCCCCCUUUGACUUAACCGAAGGAGAAUCCGAGCUAGUAUCCGGCUUCAACGUCGAAUAUGCAGGAGGGCCCUUCGCCCUAUUUUUCCUCGCCGAAUACGCCAAUAUCCUUCUCAUAAAUACACUUUCCGCCACAUUAUUCUUAGGCGCCUCCCAUUUCCCUAUAUUCCCAACAUUCACAACAAUUAACUUAAUAUUCAAAGCAGCCCUUCUAUCAAUCGUUUUCCUAUGAGUACGGGCAUCCUACCCCCGAUUCCGAUACGACCAACUAAUGCAUCUUAUCUGAAAAAACUUCCUACCCCUUACACUUGCAUUAGUUAUUUGACACUUAGCCCUCCCCAUUGCAUUCGCAGGGCUACCACCGCAACUAUAACAGGAAUUGUGCCUGAAUUAAAGGGCCACUUUGAUAGAGUGAAUCAUGGAGGUUAAAAUCCUCCCAACUCCUUAGAAAAAAGGGAUUUGAACCCCCCCUGAAGAGAUCAAAACUCUACGUGCUUCCACUACACCACUUCCUAGUAAAGUAAGUUAUUUUAAACUCCUGGGCCCAUACCCCAAAAAAGCAGGUUAGAUUCCCGCCUCUACUAAUGAAUCCCUAUAUCCUGGCUACCCUAUUAUUCAGCCUGGGCCUUGGAACAACUAUUACAUUUGCAAGCUCUCACUGACUCCUUGCCUGAAUGGGCCUUGAAAUCAACACACUUGCAAUCAUCCCAAUUAUAGCCCAACAUCACCAUCCUCGAGCAGUAGAAGCUGCAACAAAAUAUUUCCUAACACAAGCCACAGCAGCAGCCAUGCUCCUUUUCGCUAGCACUACAAAUGCCUGAUUAACCGGACAAUGAGACAUCUACCAAAUAUCUCAUCCCCUUCCCAUAACAAUAAUUAUUUUAGCCCUUGCUUUAAAAAUUGGUCUCGCCCCCCUACACUCAUGACUCCCAGAAGUACUGCAAGGAUUAGACCUGACCACCGGACUGAUUCUUUCCACUUGACAAAAACUUGCCCCAUUUGCUCUACUUCUCCAACUUCACUCAACCAACCCAACCCUAGUACUUUCUUUAGGCCUUAUAUCAACCCUUGUCGGAGGCUGAGGAGGCCUUAACCAAACCCAGCUCCGUAAAAUCUUAGCCUACUCUUCAAUUGCGCACCUAGGGUGAAUAACACUAGCACUCCAAUACUCCCCAUCACUUACAUUCCUAACACUAAUUAUCUACUUCGUAAUAACCUUCUCAACAUUCCUAGUAUUUAAAAUAAAUAAAACUACCAACAUUAACUCACUAGCCAUCUCCUGAGCAAAAACCCCGAUUCUUACCGCAUUAACACCUCUUAUUCUACUCUCCCUUGGCGGUCUGCCUCCGCUCACAGGUUUUAUGCCAAAAUGAUUAAUCCUUCAAGAAUUAACUAAACAAGGACUAGAACCAACCGCCACUUUCGCAGCCCUCACCGCCCUUCUUAGCUUAUACUUCUACCUCCGACUCUGUUACUCAAUAGCCCUUACUAUGGCACCCAACACCUUAACCGGUACAACACCCUGACGUCAACCUUCGACACAAUCAACCCUCCCCCUAGCCCUAACAACAACCGCUGCCAUCGGCCUUCUUCCUAUCACCCCAGCCAUCACCUCCCUCCUUUCUCUUUAAGGGACUUAGGCUAAUUUCCAGACCAAGGGCCUUCAAAGCCCUAAGCGAGAGUUAAAAUCUUUCAGUCCCUGUAAAACUUGCAGGACGCUACCCCACAUCUUCUGAAUGCAAAACAGAUACUUUAAUUAAGCUAAAGCCUUUCUAGAAGGGAAGGCCUCGAUCCUACAAACUCUUAGUUAACAGCUAAGCGCUCAAACCAGCGAGCAUCCAUCUAGCUUUCCCCGCCUGGAAUGGGGAAGGCGGGGAAAGCCCAGGCAGUCGUUACUCUGCAUUUUCAGGUUUGCAAUCUGACGUGUAAACAACACUUCAAGGCUUGAUAAAAAGAGGAUUUGAACCUCUGUAUAUGGGGCUACAAUCCACCGCUUAAACACUCAGCCAUCUUACCUGUGGCAAUUACACGUUGAUUUUUCUCGACUAAUCACAAAGAUAUCGGCACCCUCUACCUUUUAUUUGGUGCCUGAGCUGGAAUGGUAGGAACCGCACUAAGCCUGCUUAUUCGAGCAGAACUUAGCCAACCGGGCGCCCUUUUAGGGGACGAUCAAAUCUAUAACGUUAUUGUUACCGCUCACGCUUUCGUUAUAAUCUUCUUUAUAGUUAUGCCUAUUAUGAUCGGAGGAUUUGGGAAUUGAUUAAUUCCCCUAAUGAUUGGAGCCCCCGAUAUAGCCUUCCCUCGAAUGAAUAAUAUGAGCUUCUGGCUUCUUCCCCCUUCCUUCCUACUUCUACUCGCCUCUUCAGGGGUCGAAGCAGGAGCCGGAACCGGUUGAACUGUGUACCCCCCUCUUGCAGGCAAUCUAGCCCACGCAGGAGCAUCAGUAGACCUAACUAUUUUCUCCCUCCAUUUAGCAGGGAUCUCCUCAAUUUUAGGGGCUAUCAACUUUAUUACAACUAUUAUUAAUAUGAAGCCCCCCGCUAUUUCACAGUACCAGACACCCCUAUUCGUGUGGGCUGUCCUAAUUACAGCAGUCCUUCUUCUUCUGUCCCUUCCUGUACUUGCAGCAGGGAUUACAAUGCUAUUAACAGACCGAAAUUUAAAUACAACCUUCUUCGACCCUGCAGGAGGGGGAGACCCUAUCCUCUACCAACACUUAUUCUGAUUCUUUGGCCAUCCAGAAGUUUAUAUUUUAAUCUUACCAGGAUUUGGAAUUAUUUCACACAUUGUCGCAUACUACUCAGGUAAAAAAGAACCUUUCGGCUACAUGGGGAUGGUCUGAGCUAUAAUAGCAAUUGGCCUACUUGGCUUUAUUGUCUGAGCCCACCACAUGUUCACUGUAGGGAUGGAUGUUGAUACUCGAGCUUACUUCACAUCAGCUACAAUGAUUAUUGCCAUUCCUACGGGGGUAAAAGUCUUUAGCUGACUAGCUACUCUUCACGGCGCUUCCUUAAAGUGAGAUGCACCCUUACUAUGGGCACUCGGCUUUAUUUUCCUUUUUACAGUAGGGGGACUAACAGGGAUUGUCCUAGCCAAUUCUUCUUUAGACGUAGUACUUCACGACACAUACUACGUAGUUGCCCACUUCCACUACGUACUAUCUAUAGGAGCCGUAUUCGCAAUCGUAGCCGGAUUUGUACACUGAUUCCCCUUAUUUACAGGCUAUACACUUCAUGAUACUUGAGCCAAAGCCCAUUUUGCACUUAUGUUUACGGGAGUAAACCUAACGUUCUUCCCUCAACACUUCCUUGGACUAGCAGGCAUGCCUCGACGUUAUUCAGACUACCCAGAUGCAUACACCCUGUGAAACACUGUCUCUUCAAUUGGGUCUUUAAUCUCUUUAACAGCAGUAAUUCUAUUCCUAUUUAUUAUUUGGGAAGCAUUCGCUUCUAAGCGAGAAGUUCUAGCAGUUGAACACACACUUACUAACGUCGAAUGACUGCACGGCUGCCCUCCGCCUUAUCACACAUUUGAGGAACCUGCAUUCGUCCAAGUUCAGACAAAAUAAACGAGAAAGGGAGGAGUUGAACCCCCAUAUGUUAGUUUCAAGCCAACCACAUAACCGCUCUGUCACUUUCUUUUAAGGUACUAGUUAAACAGCCAUAACAUUUCUUUGUCAGGGAAAAAUUGCAAGUUAAAGUCUUGCGUAUCUUAUUUAUAAUGGCUCAUCCCGCACAACUCGGUUUCCAAGACGCAGCUUCCCCCGUAAUAGAAGAACUUCUUCAUUUCCAUGACCAUGCUAUAAUGAUUGUUCUCCUCAUUAGUGUCCUCGUACUAUAUAUCAUUGUAGCUACUAUUUCUACCAAACUAACUGAUAAGUAUAUUCUAGACUCCCAAGAAAUUGAAAUUAUUUGAACAGUACUUCCAGCAAUUACACUUAUUAUAAUUGCACUCCCCUCUUUACGAAUUCUUUACCUAAUGGACGAAGUAAAUAACCCACAUAUUACAGUCAAAGCAAUUGGCCACCAAUGAUACUGAAGCUAUGAAUACACUGACUACUCAGACUUAGGUUUCGACUCCUAUAUACUCCCCACGCAAGAUCUUGCCCCAGGACAAUUCCGGCUUCUAGAAGCUGACCAUCGAAUGGUUGUUCCCUUAGAAUCCCCAGUCCGAGUACUAGUUACUGCAGAAGAUGUACUACACUCCUGAGCAGUCCCAGCCCUUGGUGUAAAAAUAGACGCAGUUCCGGGCCGACUAAACCAAACAGCCUUCAUUGCCUCCCGCCCUGGCGUAUUCUACGGCCAAUGUUCCGAAAUCUGUGGUGCAAAUCACAGCUUUAUACCUAUUGUAGUUGAGACAGUCCCCUUAAAACACUUUGAAGCCUGAUCAACAAUAAUGCUUGAAGAUGCCUCACUAAGAAGCUAAAAUGGGCCAUAGCGUUAGCCUUUUAAGCUAAAGACUGGUGAUCCCCAACCACCCUUAGUGGCAUGCCCCAACUCAACCCUGCACCCUGAUUUAUGAUUUUAAUCUUUUCAUGAGUGGUAUUCCUAGUAGUAUUACCACCAAAAGUGAAAGCUCAUUCUUAUCCGAAUGAGCCCACACCUCAAAGCACAGAAAAGCCCAAAACAGACCCCUGAUCCUGACCAUGAUACUAAGCUUCUUCGACCAAUUCUUAAUUACUUCCUUCAUGGGCGUACCACUAAUAGCCCUUGCCCUAAUUAUCCCUUGAGUCUUAUACCCGACCCCUACGGACCGAUGACUAAGCAACCGAAUGCUUGUUCUCCAAAACUGAGGCAUCUCCCAAUUUACCCGACAACUAUUCCAACCAAUUAACCCCGCCGGCCACCCCUGAGCCUUAAUAUUUGCAUCCCUUAUAAUUUUCCUCCUUACCCUUAAUCUACUAGGACUUCUACCCUACACAUUUACCCCUACUACCCAACUCUCAUUAAACAUAGGUUUUGCAGUUGUUAUGUGAUUAGCCACUGUUAUUAUUGGCUUUCGAAACCAACCAACCGUUGCCCUUGGCCACUUCCUGCCAGAAGGAACGCCAACACUACUUGUUCCACUACUGAUUAUAAUCGAGACAACUAGCUUAUUUAUUCGACCAAUCGCAUUAGGCGUACGACUAACAGCCAAUCUUACCGCAGGCCACCUUUUAAUUCAACUAAUUGCUACGGCUGCUUUCGUCCUAGCCCCUAUAAUGCCUGUUGUUUCAAUUUUGACAGCAGUCCUACUGUUCUUGCUAACACUACUAGAGGUAGCCGUUGCAGUAAUUCAAGCUUACGUAUUUGUACUUCUCUUAAGUCUCUACCUACAAGAAAACGUUUAAUGGCCCGUCAAGCACACGCAUACCACAUAGUAGACCCCAGCCCAUGGCCCCUUACAGGGGCAGUAGGCGCCCUUCUAAUAACCUCCGGAACCGCUAUAUGAUUCCAUUAUAACUCUAUUACACUAAUAGUUCUCGGGACUAUUUUGGUCCUCCUAACAAUAUACCAAUGAUGACGAGACGUAGUACGAGAAGCAACUUUCCAAGGACAUCAUACCCCUCCUGUCCAAAAAGGCCUUCGGUACGGAAUGAUUCUUUUUAUUACUUCCGAGGUCUUCUUUUUCCUAGGGUUCUUUUGGGCAUUUUAUCACGCGAGUCUUGCCCCCACCCCUGAGCUAGGAGGCUGCUGACCACCUACAGGAAUUACAACAUUAGACCCCUUUGAAGUACCUCUCCUCAACACCGCCGUAUUGCUAGCCUCCGGUGUUACAGUUACCUGAGCUCACCACAGCAUUAUAGAGGGUGAACGAAAACAAGCAAUUCACUCCCUUACACUAACUAUUCUUCUUGGAUUCUACUUCACUUUCCUUCAAGGCAUGGAGUAUUAUGAAGCCCCCUUCACUAUUGCAGACGGGGUCUACGGCUCAACCUUCUUUGUGGCCACCGGCUUCCACGGCUUACACGUAAUUAUUGGAUCCACCUUCCUUGCCGUCUGCCUCCUGCGACAAAUCAAGUAUCAUUUUACUUCAACUCACCACUUUGGAUUUGAAGCAGCUGCCUGAUACUGACACUUCGUAGACGUAGUGUGAUUAUUCCUAUACGUCUCAAUUUAUUGAUGAGGCUCAUAAUCCUUCUAGUAUAGUGGUAAUAUAGGUAGCUUCCAACUACUUGAUUUUGGUUCGAUUCCAUAGAAGGAUAAUGAAUUUAACUAUUACAAUUGUUGCCAUUACCGCGGUGCUAUCUGUAGUACUCGCUAUUGUUUCAUUUUGACUUCCUCAGAUAACCCCUGACCACGAAAAACUCUCUCCUUACGAAUGCGGGUUUGACCCUCUAGGAACUGCCCGUCUCCCCUUUUCACUACGAUUCUUUCUCGUAGCCAUUUUAUUCCUCCUUUUUGACCUAGAAAUCGCAUUAUUACUUCCCCUGCCAUGAGGGGACCAAACCACCACCCCCUUGUUAACAUUCCUAUGAGCCUCAGCUGUACUAGCCCUGCUAACUAUUGGCCUUAUUUAUGAAUGAAUACAGGGAGGCCUUGAAUGAGCCGAAUAGGUAGCUAGUUUAAUUAAAACAUUUGAUUUCGGCUCAAAAACUUAUGGUUAAAUUCCAUAGCAGCCUUAUGACGCCUGCCCAUUUCUCUAUCUCGGCGGGUUUCAUUCUAGGCCUUACUGGUCUUGCCUUUCACCGAACCCAUUUGUUAUCCGCCCUUUUAUGUCUAGAAGGAAUAAUGCUUUCCCUAUUCGUUGCGCUUUCUAUCUGAACGCUACAACUAAAUGCCACCAAUUUUUCAGCUGCCCCCUUACUACUCCUAGCAUUCUCAGCCUGUGAAGCUAGUGCAGGGCUGGCACUACUAGUAGCUACAGCACGAACCCACGGCUCAGACCGCCUACAAGCCUUAAACCUCCUACAAUGUUAAAAAUUAUUAUCCCUGUACUUAUACUACUCCCAACAAUUUGAUUUUCACCCCGCUUCUUAAUAUGGCCCCUAACAUUUCUUCACAGUAUAUCUAUUGCAGUGACAAGUAUGUCCUGGGUAAAUUUUAUAUCCCACGGAGGAUGACGGGAAGUUUAUUAUCAACUAGGAAUUGACCCACUUUCUACACCCUUACUAGUCCUAACCUGCUGACUCCUCCCUUUGACUAUUUUAGCAAGCCAAUACCAUGUUGAACAAGAACCUCUAGGACGCCAACGCCUAUUCCUCACAGUACUAACACUUCUCCAGGCACAUAUCCUUCUAUCUUUCAUAGCUAUAGAUCUUAUUACAUUUUAUAUUAUAUUUGAAGCAACUUUAAUCCCUACAUUAUUUUUGAUUACACGCUGAGGUAAUCAACUAGAACGCCUAAAUGCAGGGGCUUACUUCCUUCUUUAUACCCUGGCUGCCUCUCUUCCCCUUUUAAUUGCACUCCUCUCAUACUAUAAAUCCUCUGGAUCCUUGUCCUUAAUAAUACUUCCCUAUGUAGGAACAUCAGACCUCUCGUCUUUUGCCCAAUUAGCCUGAUGGUUAGGAUGUGUAGCCGCCUUUAUAGUCAAAAUACCACUAUAUGGUGUCCACCUGUGAUUACCAAAAGCCCAUGUAGAAGCCCCUAUCGCAGGAUCUAUAGUUCUUGCUGCUGUUCUACUCAAACUUGGUGGAUAUGGCCUAAUGCGAGUUGGCCCCCUACUAUCUCCACUUGCUUCAGAAGCAGCAUACCCCUUCAUUGUCCUUGCACUCUGAGGCGUCGUAAUAACAGGCUCCAUCUGUCUUCGACAGACAGAUCUUAAGUCCCUGAUUGCAUAUUCGUCUGUAAGCCACAUAGGCCUCGUUGUCGGAGGGAUUAUAAUCCAGACCGACUGGGGCUUCACGGGCGCUCUUAUCCUUAUGAUUGCACACGGACUAACCUCUUCAGCACUAUUCUGCCUUGCAAACACUAACUACGAACGAACGCAUAGCCGUACCAUACUCCUAGCACGCGGCAUACAAAUAGUCCUCCCUCUUAUGGCAACAUGAUGAUUUAUUUCAACCCUUGCCAACCUAGCACUCCCCCCUUUACCCAAUCUUAUAGGAGAGCUCAUAAUCAUUACCUCCCUCUUCAACUGAUCUUGAUGAACACUAGCUCUUACAGGGGCCGGCACUCUAAUUACCGCAGGCUACUCCCUUUACAUGUUUUUAAUAACCCAGCGGGGCCCACUCCCUGCCCACAUUCUCGCCAUUGAGCCAUCCCAUACACGAGAGCACCUACUCAUAGCACUACACCUUCUUCCCCUGAUCCUACUAAUCUUAAAACCAGAACUAUUCUGAGGAUGGGCCGCCUGUAGAUAUAGUUUAACAAAAACGUUAGAUUGUGAUUCUAGAGACAGAGGUUAAACCCCUCUUAUCCACCGAGAGAGGUCUGCUAACAACGAAAACUGCUAAUUUCCGUCACCUUGGUUGGAUCCCAAGGCUCACUCGUAUGCUUCUAUAGGAUAACAGCUCAUCCGUUGGAUUUAGGCUCCGAAAACUCUUGGUGCAAAUCCAAGUGGAAGCU